rnacentral:rRNA from 1 species
CCUACGGGAGUCAGCAGUGAGGAAUAUUGGGCAAUGGACGCAAGUCUGAACCAGCCAUGCCGCGUGCAGGAAGACGGCUCUAUGAGUUGUAAACUGCUUUUGUACGAGGGUAAACGCAGAUACGCGUAUCUGUCUGAAAGUAUCGUACGAAUAAGGAUAGGCGAACUCCGUGCCAGCCGCCGCGGUAAUACGGAGGAUUCAAGCGUUAUCCGGAUUUAUUGGGUUUAAAGGGUUCGUAGGCGGUCGGAUAAGUUAGAGGUGAAAUCCCGAGGCUCAACUUCGGAAUUGCCUCUGAUACUGUUCGGCUAGAGAGUAGUUGCGGUAGGCGGAAUGUAUGGUGUAGCGGUGAAAUGCUUAGAGAUCAUACAGAACACCGACUGCGAAGGCAGCUUACCAAGCUACUUCUGACGUUGAGGCACGAAAGCGUUGGGAGCAAACAGGAUUAGAUACCCGUGUAGUC